CCAUCGCCGUCGCCGUCGCCGAAGCCCAAGAACCCCAAGCCACCCAAAGGCCCCGCGUACCCGGCGCCGGGGCACCAGCAACCGCCCAAGAGCCCCUCCUACCCGCCGGUCACGCGUCCGCCAGUCGUCGGCCCGCCCAAGGGCCCCGUCACGCGCCCGCCGGUCACGCGUCCGCCGGUCGUCGGACCACCGGUGACCUACCCGCCGAUCAUCGGCCCACCGGUCACGCGUCCGCCGGUCGUCGGGCCACCGGUGACCUACCCGCCGAUUACCGGCCCUCCGACGACGCCGCCGGUCGUCGGCCCACCGGUCACCUACCCGCCGAUCACCGGCCCUCCGUCAACCACGCCUCCGAUCACCGGCCCGCCGUCGACGACGCCCCCAGUCACCGGUCCGCCCGUGACCUACCCGCCCGGCGGAGGCGGCGGCAGCUCGACGCCGUGCCCGCCGCCGC
rnacentral:lncRNA from 1 species